GACGUAGGGCGCAAGCGUUGUCCGGAUUUAUUGGGCGUAAAGAGCUCGUAGGCGGCUGGUCGCGUCGACUGUGAAAACCCGUGGCUCAACCAUGUGGUCUGCAGUCGAUACGGGCAGGCUAGAAUUCGGUAGGGGAGACUGGAAUUCCUGGUGUAGCGGUGAAAUGCGCAGAUAUCAGGAGGAACACCGGUGGCGAAGGCGGGUCUCUGGGCCGAUAUUGACGCUGAGGAGCGAAAGCGUGGGGAGCGAACAGG
rnacentral:rRNA from 1 species